rnacentral:rRNA from 1 species
AGUGGCGCACGGGUGAGUAACGCGUAGGCAUCUGCCCUCGGGCGGGGAAUAACCACGGGAAACCGUGGCUAAUACCACAUAACUCCGCAUGGACAAAGGCUUCGGCCACCUGAGGAUGAGCCUGCGUCGGAUUAGCUAGUUGGUGAGGUAACAGCUCACCAAGGCGACGAUCCGUAGCGGGUCUGAGAGGAUGAUCCGCCACACUGGCACUGAGACACGGGCCAGACUCCUACGGGAGGCAGCAGUGAGGAAUAUUGCGCAAUGGACGAAAGUCUGACGCAGCCACGCCGCGUGCAGGAAGACACCCUCAGGGGCGUAAACUGCUUUUAUACGGGAAGAACACCUCCUUCUAGGAGGUCUGACGGUACCGUACGAAUAAGGACCGGCUAACUCCGUGCCAGCAGCCGCGGUAAUACGGAGGGUCCAAGCGUUGUCCGGAAUCACUGGGUGUAAAGGGUGCGCAGGCGGGCGUGUAAGUCAGGGGUGAAAGCCACCGGCCUAACCGGUGAACUGCCCUUGAUACUGCACGUCUUGAGUCCCGGAGAGGCUAUCGGAAUUCGUGGUGUAGCGGUGAAAUGCGUAAAUAUCACGAGGAACACCUGAUGCGUAGGCGGAUAGCUGGACGGCUACUGACGCUCAGCACGAAAGCGUGGGAAGCAAACAUGAAUAGAUACCUUGGUAGUCCACGCCCA